AUAACAGAAUGGGGGAUCACUCAGCUCGUCCGUCGAUGAAAAGCGCGGCUAUCCGCGUGAACUGAUGCGAAUUUCAGGAUUCAGUGAACAUCGACACCUCGAACGCACAUUGCGGCCACGGGAUCCCAUCGUCCCAGGGCCACAUCCGGUCGAGAGUUA
rnacentral:rRNA from 1 species